CUCAUAUUCUAGGAUCGAUAGAUUCCUGAUCCCUCACUCCUUGACUCCGAUAGUACAGAAAACAAGCAUAGGACAGAUAACAUAGUCCGAUCAUGCCCCUACCAAACAACACACUUCACAAAAGAUCAGUGGUUACGAUCAAUCUUAGCGCUAAAGGCUCCCACCAGAUAAACUAAACAAAAUGUACCCACGAUCCUCAGCACAAUGUUGGAGGUGUGAACAGCACAGAGGUACGAUGAGUCACAUAUGGUGGCACUGUCCGAAUAUACAACCGUUGUGGACAGUCUUCCAGACAAUAUGUAACUCCCAGGGGGUCCACCAAGGAAAGAUCACACCUGAUAUAGGUCUGUUUCUACUAUUACCUACAAACACCCCUUUCCCAGAUAGACAGCUAAUGAUAAUUGUAAUCAUGGCAGCACGUAACCUCCUAGCAUAUCAUUGGAAACAAAAAGAAUGUCCAUCGUCAAAACUACUGUACAGUAAAAUAUGACAAUAUCUUAGGUACGAGCAAUUGUCUACGGCUACGCCUAAACAUAGGAAUGCCACACACACUAAUUGGCAAAAAUUGAUAAAUUUCAAUCCACCAUCGGAGCCAUAGCCUAAGACUCAUAGCCCACACAGGUAUUAGACAGCCAGGUAUAAUGGGAGGGCAGCCUAGAGGACCUCACGAUAACAGAGGGCAGCGCAGGUACACAUAUAUAUAGCAGCAAUACUGGCCAAAGAUAGACCGCUUUCGAGCUUGGGGUCGAAUCGACCAACCUCGUGUAGAGGAACAGCUUGCAGACAAUCAUGCAGCUGCGCCCUUCAGACAGGAGUCACACCUGCAAUUAGACCAUAGAGGCACCAUAGACCCUGAGAGUACCGCUCAGGAUAUCACUCAUAGCACAUAUACCUGUAAAACUAUGCUAUUGGGUAUUGUAUAUGACUGGAAUGUCACUAAAUGUAAAAUCAGAACACGCCGGCUCUGGUAUAAGCUGAUACCGUGAAUGGACAUGUGUUUUUUUACCUUU